GUAACAAUAGGAAGUGUCCGUAGAGCUGGGAGUAGACUCCUGGCUCAUGCCAGCUGCGCCCUCUUUUCUCUACCUCCUUCCUCUUCCCCCCUUCUCCUUUCCCUCUUUCCCUUCCCUCCCACCUCCCGGGAACCCUGGCUGAGUGUGCGUGUGUGGGAGCGCGAGAGCCCCCCGACAGCCACCCCUUGGGGCGCGCGGCUGCAGUUAGGGUAAGGGUCCCAGUGCGCAGGCGCGCUCUUGUUCGCGGUCCCCAACUGACGCGCCCGCGGCGGGAAGGAGAGGGGGCCGCCGGUGCGAGGUAGGCGUCCUGAGAGGAAAUUGGCAGACGAGAUGAGUGAGGCCUUGGCCCCUCCACCAGAGGAAGGUGCUGCCACGUGUCUGCUCCUUCUGAACCUCCAGGUUUCUGCUACGUUGCCCCAUGGAGGACACACCCCCCUCACUCAGCUGCUCCGACUGUCAGCGCCACUUUCCCAGCCUCCCAGAGCUCUCUCGGCACCGAGAACUGCUCCAUCCAUCUCCCAACCAGGACAGUGAGGAGGCUGACAGCAUCCCUCGGCCCUACCGUUGUCAGCAGUGUGGGCG
rnacentral:lncRNA from 1 species